UACGUAGGUGGCAAGCGUUGUCCGGAUUUACUGGGCGUAAAGAGCGCGCAGGCGGUCGUUCAAGUCGCGUGUGAAAGCCCCCGGCUCAACUGGGGAGGGUCACGCGAUACUGAUCGACUCGAAGGCAGGAGAGGGAAGUGGAAUUCCCGGUGUAGUGGUGAAAUGCGUAGAUAUCAGGAGGAACACCGAUGGCGAAGGCAGGUCUCUGGGCUGACACUGACGCUCAUGCACGAAAGCGUGGGGAGCAAACAGG
rnacentral:rRNA from 1 species